CGCGGGGCAGGCGGGGCGGCCAGGCAGCAAGGUGGCGCAGGGAAGCAGAGGCGGCUGCAAGCACAUCCUCAGCCAGAGCCAGGUGCAUGGUGAAAUUCACUGAACAUUGAAUUAAACAAACAUAACUAUAUUUGGGGAGGUAUACCUCUAAUGCUACAAAACUUGCAACAAAAAAGAAGCACUACUCCUAACUAUGAGGAAAAGAAAAGCCCAGUGGAGUAAAAGUAGCUUGCUAGCUGGGACCCUAAAAAUUGCUCAGUAAGAAUUCUCAGUUCCUCUCAUCGCUAAGCUUGAAAUUUAAAAAUGUCCAUAUUUUAAUUUCUGAUCACUAGCUUAUGAUGCUGCCUUUG